rnacentral:rRNA from 1 species
GACGAACGCUGGCGGCGUGCUUAACACAUGCAAGUCGAACGAAGAGCGAUGGAAGCUUGCUUCUAUCAAUCUUAGUGGCGAACGGGUGAGUAACGCGUAAUCAACCUGCCCUUCAGAGGGGGACAACAGUUGGAAACGACUGCUAAUACCGCAUACGAUCUAACCUCGGCAUCGAGGAAAGAUGAAAGGUGGCCUCUAUUUAUAAGCUAUCACUGAAGGAGGGGAUUGCGUCUGAUUAGCUAGUUGGAGGGGUAACGGCCCACCAAGGCGAUGAUCAGUAGCCGGUCUGAGAGGAUGAACGGCCACAUUGGGACUGAGACACGGCCCAGACUCCUACGGGAGGCAGCAGUGGGGAAUCUUCCGCAAUGGACGAAAGUCUGACGGAGCAACGCCGCGUGAGUGAUGACGGGCCUUUCGGGUUGUAAAGCUCUGUUAAUCGGGACGAAAGGCCUUUCUGCGAAC